CAUCCUGGACAGGGAGGAACGCUGGUUUGAGCGCGGAGUCAAGGAGGCCAUUUGCGUGAAGAGGGAAACACCAUCUCUGAAUCGAGGAGGGGGCCUAAGUGUAGCUGACUCUGAAAUGUUUGUGUGGGUUGUGAUGACAACGCCAGAAGCGCAUCCGAGAUCGUUAUAUUGUUUUCGAUUUGUUUUUCUUCAUUUAGUAUUCAUGUUUUUGUACAUUUACAGUGGAAAAAGAUAAUCUAUGAUACCAGUGAUACAUUUACAUUUCUUCUUACAAAGAAUGUUUCUGUUAAAAUGAUUGUAAAGUAGUCACUUCCUCUGUGAGUCGCGGGAACUGGAAGUUGUGCGCGGGAGAGACAAGACAGAACGAUAACACAGCGGACUUUUCGGGAUCUACAACUUUUCUACUGCUGGUUUUACAAGGCGUACACGUUUUCACGGUGCUCCAUGAUUGUGAGAGGAAUAAAAGGGAAUUGUGGACAUCAGUACGAAGCGUGGAUUCUUUUGACCAGAGUAGAUAUACUAAGGUGUUGAAUACGAGACAUCAGAUGAAGCAGUCAGGUUCUUUGUGAAUCUGUUCUGUGCAGCAGCAGAGAGAGAACAGCAGGCAGGAGAGAAGAUACUGGAGCUGUUAUCAUUAGUGUGCACAUAUGAAAGAUUCCCUUUUAAUGAAAGUUACACGCGUGUAUAUCAGUGUAAUUUCCUGCUGGAUCUGUACUCCCAUGUGAAGAGCUAUGAGGCUAAAACAGGCUUGAGUGUCCUUCCAUCAUUACAGUCAGUUUUUUCAGCUCCUGCAGUCUGGUUCAUAAACCUUGCAGAGAGAAAGACCUCCAUCCUCCUGGAAGUGCUGAAACUCCAACCAGAGAAGAAACAAGUAGAGCUGACAGUCUGCUCACAGAAAACGAGUAAAGUGAGGAGUUUCCUUCAGUGUCUGCCUUACAUCUCACAGCUCAGUGUUGAUUCUUGGAUGCCAGAUGAAGAAGCAGUCAGGUUCUUUGUGAAUCUGUUCUGUGCAGCAGCAGAGAGAGAACAGCAGACAGGAGAGAAGAUACUGGAGCUGUUAUCAUCAGUGUGCACAUAUCAAACAUUCCCUGUUCAUGAGAGAGACAUGGAUGAUGAUAUUGGUCAAACUAUAAUUAUUAUUAAUCAUAAUCAAAGGGAUCAAAGGGAAUCUCAGUGUUAUUUCCUGUUGGAUCUGUACUCCCAUGUGAAGGACUGCAAGACUGAAACAGGCUUGAGUUUCCUUCCAUCAUUACACUCAGUUUUCCAGUCAGCUCCUGCAGUCUGGUUCAUAAACCUCUCAGAGAGAAAGACCUCCAUCCUCCUGGAAGUGCUGAAACUCCAACCAGAGAAGAAACAAGUGAAGCUGACAGGCUGCUCACAUGA